rnacentral:rRNA from 1 species
CAAAGUGUGAUAAGCAUUGUGAUGUGCGAGAUCCUGUGAACCAUUAGACUCCCGAGCGCACUCUGUACUUCUAGGAGCUCCUGGAAGUAAUCCAGCUUCAGGGUCAUGUAGCUUCCCCCUUCUWGGGCGCAUUGCUCUGAGCAGGGUGUGAUGCCCUG